CCUACGGGAGGCAGCAGUGGGGAAUAUUGCACAAUGGGGGGAACCCUGAUGCAGCGACGCCGCGUGGGUGAAGGAGUACUUCGGUACGUAAAGCCCUAUCAGCAGGAAAGAAAAUGACGGUACCUGACUAAGAAGCCCCGGCUAACUACGUGCCAGCAGCCGCGGUAAUACGUAGGGGGCAAGCGUUAUCCGGAUUUACUGGGUGUAAAGGGAGCGUAGGCGGUAAUAUAAGUCAGAUGUGAAAGGUGGGGGCUCAACCCCUAGAGUGCAACUGAUACUGUAUAACUUGAGUGUGAGAGAGGGAAGCGGAAUUCCUAGUGUAGCGGUGAAAUGCGUAGAUAUUAGGAGGAACACCAGUGGCGAAGGCGGCUUUCUGGCUCAUAACUGACGCUGAGGCGCGAAAGCGUGGGGAGCAAACAGGAUUAGAUACCCUGGUAGUC
rnacentral:rRNA from 1 species